AUUGAACGCUGGCGGCAUGCCUUACACAUGCAAGUCGAACGGCAGCACGGGGCAACCUGGUGGCGAGUGGCGAACGGGUGAGUAAUGCAUCGGAACGUACCUUUCAGUGGGGGAUAACGUAGCGAAAGUUACGCUAAUACCGCAUAUUCUGUGAGCAGGAAAGCAGGGGAUCGCAAGACCUUGCGCUGAUUGAGCGGCCGAUAUCAGAUUAGCUAGUUGGUGAGGUAAAGGCUCACCAAGGCGACGAUCUGUAGCGGGUCUGAGAGGAUGAUCCGCCAGACUGGAACUGAGACACGGUCCAGACUCCUACGGGAGGCAGCAGUGGGGAAUUUUGGACAAUGGGGGCAACCCUGAUCCAGCCAUGCCGCGUGAGUGAAGGAGGCCUUCGGGUUGUAAAGCUCUUUCGGCCGGGAAGAAAUCGUAUGGGCUAAUACCCUGUGCGGAUGACGGUACCGGCAUAAGAAGCACCGGCUAACUACGUGCCAGCCGCCGCCGUAAAAC
rnacentral:rRNA from 1 species